rnacentral:rRNA from 1 species
GACGAACGCUGGCGGCGUGCUUAACACAUGCAAGUCGAACGGAAAGGCCCUGCUUUUGUGGGGUGCUCGAGUGGCGAACGGGUGAGUAACACGUGAGUAACCUGCCCUUGACUUUGGGAUAACUUCAGGAAACUGGGGCUAAUACCGGAUAGGAGCUCCUGCUGCAUGGUGGGGGUUGGAAAGUUUAGGCGGUUGGGGAUGGACUCGCGGCUUAUCAGCUUGUUGGGUGGGUAGUGGCUUACCCAGGCUUUGACGGGUAGCCGGCCUGAGAGGGUGGACGGCGACAAUGGGCCUGCGAGAGGGACCAGACGGGUACGGGGGGCAGUAGUGGAGAAUAUUGCACAAUGGGGGGAAGUCUGAUGCAGAAGUGCCGCGUGCGGGAAGACGGCCUUGGGGUUGUAAACCGCUUUCGCCUGUGACGAAGCGUGAGUGACGGUAAUGGGUAAAGAAGCACCGGCUAACUACGUG